rnacentral:piRNA from 1 species
AAACAUGAUUACUGGCACUUCUCAGGC